UGAGAAGAACAGCUGAGCAUUCCUCAGUGAUGGAGCGACCUCUAAUGGACCGCGCGCUCUUAAAUCCUGUGCUCCCGCAGCGGCCGAGUGAAACAGAUCUGACCAGUGACUCAUGACAGCCCGAGGCGCUACCGACAAAAACUUUACUCGGGGCAAAACUUGAGCGAUACAUGGGCAAAACAGGACAAACGAGAUAAAAAAGUGCUCACAGUGCAUAGGAGAGUCAAUAGAAAGAGAGAGUAAGGCAACCUUGAGCAGCGGCUAAGGACUCUGUCAAGAAGGACACAAGCUCCUGUGUGUGACCUUUCGUCUGUUGCCCUGGGAGAGCGGCUCUCCUUUCACCCAAUGCAGGGAUCAUCUGUCAAUUGCUGUUACAUGAAGACAUGUGCCUUGAGUCUGUCUGCCUAUUCCAGACCAAUUUCACAACAGUCUGUUGAGGGCCCCAAGCACCCAUCACCCUGAACCCCAGCAGGCCUGUCACACUGUCUCACUACCCUGAUCCUGCUCCUUCUUCUCCUGCCAGCCCCCCUCAGCCCUCCCUGGAGUCCCCAGGGGCCCUCAUCCUCCAUGGAGAGCAGGGAGA